rnacentral:rRNA from 1 species
UAUAACGACUCUCGGCAACGGAUAUCUCGGCUCUCGCAUCGAUGAAGAACGUAGCGAAAUGCGAUACUUGGUGUGAAUUGCAGAAUCCCGUGAACCAUCGAGUCUUUGAACGCAAGUUGCGCCCCAAGCCGUCAGGCCGAGGGCACGUCUGCCUGGGUGUCACGC